rnacentral:misc_RNA from 1 species
GCACAAUAUAUCAGUCCUCUAGCUCAGUUUGCAUUGCACUCACUAUAACAAUGAAGCUCAAAUCAUGAUAACAAGUUCAAUGAUUUUCUAAUGAGUAUUGUAAGCAGCUAGAGAUUGUAUAUCAAGUAAAUGAGUCUGGAGAAAUAAUGAUCAUAUGGUUUCAACUACAGCUGCCAAAAUGUGCAGGGAAACCUGACAUGGCACCCCUUUCUGACCAAAUAUAUGUCAACAAAUAAAGAAAAGGAUCACUUCUCCAGUUUCU